rnacentral:rRNA from 1 species
AGGACGAACGCUGGCGGCGCGCUUAACACAUGCAAGUCGAGCGAGAACCUGGCCUUCGGGCCUGGGGAAAGCGGCGAACGGGUGAGUAACACGUGGGUAACCCACCCUUGGUACCGGGAUAGCCCGAGGAAACUCGGAUUAAUACCGGAUGGCCCAACAGCUCUUCGGGGCGGUUGGAAAAGGUAGCUUCGGCCUCCGACCAAGGACGGGCCCGCGGCGGAUUAGCUUGUUGGUGAGGUAACGGCUCACCAAGGCGACGAUCCGUAGCUGGUCUGAGAGGACGAUCAGCCACACUGGGACUGAGACACGGCCCAGACUCCUACGGGAGGCAGCAGUGGGGAAUCUUGCGCAAUGGGCGAAAGCCUGACGCAGCGACGCCGCGUGGGGGAAGAAGGCUUUCGGGUUGUAAAGCCCUUUCAGUUGGGACGAAGCUUUGCCGGUGAAUAGCCGGUUGGAGUGACGGUACUUCAGAAGAAGCCCCGGCUAACUACGUGCCAGCAGCCGCGGUAA